rnacentral:lncRNA from 1 species
AACCCCCUUCCUUCAAGCUAGCUCCGCCCCUGAAAUCUCAGUAAAGCCACUGCCUUUUUUCUUCUAGCACCAGCAGGCUUUUCGUAAUUCGAGGGCAAGAGAAUUGGACAGAUUGCUCUCAGAAAGCCAAUGACUUUUUUUCCUUAUUUCUCGUCCAGAACAGGCUAGCCUCCAAUUGUUACUGAGACCACUUCACAAGUGAGCUGCAUGCCUAGGCUAGAAAAGGAAUUCAAGCUCUUUUCUGGCUCUCCUUGAAUCUCCAUUUUACUGUAUUCCACUGCCUAAUCAUAUAGUUUGAUGGAUUUCAUGUGGUUUUCCUCAAACUAAAGAGCCAGGUGAUCAGCUAGGAUGGUAAGGCUACAACAGUGACCUUUUGGGUUUAUAGAUUACUGCCCACCCUACUCCAAGGGGAUCAGUCUUCAAAAUUAAGUUAGUCUUCACUUUUUUUUAAUCAUGGAUCUAAGAUGAAAUGUUCUUUCUUGAUUUUGUUCAUUAGGCUAACAUUGAUCUCUGAAAUGAUUUCGGCUGUUAUUUUUUCGUUCUUUUUGAAGUCUGAAAUGAGAUGUGGUCAUGUUCUUGUUAUAAAUAAGUUUGAUGUACUAGGGGCCUCUUUUCAUUCCUUAUUUUCUCCUAUCUAUUGUUGUAGUAGGUUUCCAGCCUUGAUCGACCCAUGUUUCUAUAGCUUUUACAGUCUCAGGUCCUAUAAAUAUUUUGUGUUCAUCUUGUUUUUCCUGGUACAAUUUCCAUGUUAUUUUAUAUCUUGCUUUCCAAUAUGGAAAUGUUUUGAUUCGACGAUAAUAAUUUUUUGUGUUCAUCUUGUUUUUCCUGGUACAAUUUCCAUGUUAUUUUAUAUCUUGCUUUCCAAUAUGGAAAUGUUUUGAGUCGAUGAUAAUAAUUUCUCAAUUUGCGCUCUUUGUUUAAGAUAUCGUGCAAUCACAAGUGCCUACUAUCGAGGAGCUGUCGGUGCGUUGCUUGUCUAUGAUGUCACUCGUCAUGUAACCUUUGAGAAUGUAGAGAGAUGGUUAAAAGAGCUCCGAGACCACACCGACUCUAGCAUUGUCAUAAUGCUGGUGGGUAAUAAGGCAGAUUUGCGUCAUCUGCGGGCUGUUUCAACUGAGGAUGCCAAGGGGUUUGCUGAGAAGGAAAGUACGUUUUUCAUGGAAACAUCUGCAUUGGAGUCCAUGAACGUGGACAAUGCCUUCACAGAAGUGCUCACUCAAAUACACCGCGUUGUUAGCAGGAAAGCUCUUGAAGUAGGAGAUGACCCUGCAGCAUUGCCGAAGGGGCAGACUAUUAAUGUUGGAGGGAAGGAUGAUGUUUCUGAAGUAAAGAAAGCCGGGUGCUGUUCUUCUUAGAACAAAGAGUAAUACAAAUGGUUGAAGAGGUUCUCUUUGUUUUGAGCGCAAAAAUUGACAUGGCAGUUGUACUUCUCCCUCUAUAUACUAGGAAGUAACCACAUGGAUUGCUUAUCAAUGAGAGCUUUAUAACUGGACCACUAGGCAUUAAUGAAUUGAGUGCAGCCCCAAGAUUGAUUAUCCAAGUGACUUCAUAGCAUUCUUUAUCCUUGUUUCUAUAUUUUGCUUCCCUUGGUCAAUGAUUAUAGUAUUAGCUUCUUGUGGACCUCCAAUAUAGGGUAUAUUUGUUUGGAAAAGAUUUGAACUGAUACAUGUAUGAACACAUUUUAUGCUGCCUUGUACUUGAUUGUUUGAUUAGUUAUGGACUGAGGAAUAUUUUCAAUUUCUUAUGUUACAGAAGAUAUUAGUGCUC